rnacentral:rRNA from 1 species
GAGUUUGAUCCUGGCUCAGAUUGAACGCUGGCGGCAGGCCUAACACAUGCAAGUCGAGCGGUAGCACAGGAGAGCUUGCUCUCUGGGUGACGAGCGGCGGACGGGUGAGUAAUGUCUGGGAAACUGCCUGAUGGAGGGGGAUAACUACUGGAAACGGUAGCUAAUACCGCAUAACGUCUUCGGACCAAAGUGGGGGACCUUCGGGCCUCACGCCAUCAGAUGUGCCCAGAUGGGAUUAGCUAGUAGGUGGGGUAAUGGCUCACCUAGGCGACGAUCCCUAGCUGGUCUGAGAGGAUGACCAGCCACACUGGAACUGAGACACGGUCCAGACUCCUACGGGAGGCAGCAGUGGGGAAUAUUGCACAAUGGGCGCAAGCCUGAUGCAGCCAUGCCGCGUGUAUGAAGAAGGCCUUCGGGUUGUAAAGUACUUUCAGCGGGGAGGAAGGCGAUAAGGUUAAUAACCUUGUCGAUUGACGUUACCCGCAGAAGAAGCACCGGCUAACUCCGUGCCAGCAGCCGCGGUAAUACGGAGGGUGCAAGCGUUAAUCGGAAUUACUGGGCGUAAAGCGCACGCAGGCGGUCUGUCAAGUCGGAUGUGAAAUCCCCGGGCUCAACCUGGGAACUGCAUUCGAAACUGGCAGGCUAGAGUCUUGUAGAGGGGGGUAGAAUUCCAGGUGUAGCGGUGAAAUGCGUAGAGAUCUGGAGGAAUACCGGUGGCGAAGGCGGGCCCCUGGACAAAGACUGACGCUCAGGUGCGAAAGCGUGGGGAGCAAACAGGAUUAGAUACCCUGGUAGUCCACGCCGUAAACGAUGUCGACUUGGAGGUUGUGCCCUUGAGGCGUGGCUUCCGGAGCUAACGCGUUAAGUCGACCGCCUGGGGAGUACGGCCGCAAGGUUAAAACUCAAAUGAAUUGACGGGGGCCCGCACAAGCGGUGGAGCAUGUGGUUUAAUUCGAUGCAACGCGAAGAACCUUACCUACUCUUGACAUCCAGAGAACUUUCCAGAGAUGGAUUGGUGCCUUCGGGAACUCUGAGACAGGUGCUGCAUGGCUGUCGUCAGCUCGUGUUGUGAAAUGUUGGGUUGAGUCCCGCAACGAGCGCAACCCUUAUCCUUUGUUGCCAGCGGUUAGGCCGGGAACUCAAAGGAGACUGCCAGUGAUAAACUGGAGGAAGGUGGGGAUGACGUCAAGUCAUCAUGGCCCUUACGAGUAGGGCUACACACGUGCUACAAUGGCGCAUACAAAGAGAAGCGACCUCGCGAGAGCAAGCGGACCUCAUAAAGUAUGUCGUAGUCCGGAUUGGAGUCUGCAACUCGACUCCAUGAAGUCGGAAUCGCUAGUAAUCGUAGAUCAGAAUGCUACGGUGAAUACGUUCCCGGGCCUUGUACACACCGCCCGUCACACCAUGGGAGUGGGUUGCAAAAGAAGUAGGUAGCUUAACCUUCGGGAGGGCGCUUACCACUUUGUGAUUCAUGACUGGGGUGAAGUC